GAGGGUGUAGCUCAGUGGGAGAGCGCCUGCCUAGCAUGCACAAGGUCCUGGGUUCAAUCCCCAGUACCUCCA
rnacentral:tRNA from 1 species